rnacentral:ncRNA from 1 species
AAAACAUCAUGAGUUGCUAAAAAGGCAGAUGGGUGUGUCAAAGAAAGUUAGUGGUUGCUGUAAACUAACCCGCCGCUGUCUCGAGUUACACAACGAAAAAAAUAUGACGUAUGCCGCGAUAAGGCAUUUUAAGUGGUAGGUCCGAUGACUUACAAUUUAGGUGGUACCACGGUUAAAACCGUCCUAUAU